UACGUAGGGGGCGAGCGUUGUCCGGAUUUAUUGGGCGUAAAACGCUUGUAGGCGGCCACCGCGCGUCGGACGUGAAAUCUCCCGGCUCAACUGGGAGGGGUCGUGCGAUACGGCGGGGCUCGAGGCCGGUAGGGGGACGCGGAAUUCCCGGUGUAGUGGUGGAAUGCGCAGAUAUCAGGAGGAACACCGGUGGCGAAGGCGGGUCUCUGGGCCGAAAUUGACGCUGAGGAGCGAAAGCGUGGGGAGCAAACAGG
rnacentral:rRNA from 1 species